NNNNNNNNNNNNNNGAAAGAAAAAGGAAAAAAACGGGGGGAAAAAAGGGAAAAAAAGAAAAAAAGGAAAAAACCCUACAGCCCCCCCCCCCCACGCCUCCCCCGCUCCGGAAAAAUAAUAAUAAAGGCAGAUGAAUAGGGAGGCUCGCGGUGCGGAGCCGCGGCCGCCGCUCAGGCAGGCAGCCACCCGUGCGCGGCCGCUCCCCCGCCCCCGGCUGCUCUGGCAGCGGCAGGACGGCAGCGGCGGCUCGGCGCGGAGGCCCCGCUCAUCACAGCGCGCCGCCCGCCCGCUCCCGCCGCCUCCCCGCCGCAGCGGAGCGCGGUCCCCGCACGCACACGCUGCACACAUACACUGCACACACGCAGUGCAUGCACACGCUGCAUGCACACACACACACUGCAUGCACACACACACACACACACACACGCUGCAUGCAUGCACACACGCUGCAGCUCGGCGGCGCACGGCCCUACCUCGCACACCGCCGCGCCGCUCGCCCGGGCAAAAACAUCCAGCGCAUCCCCUCCCCCCUUCCCCAGGGCCGCCGUGUCACUCAACCCGGGGCAGGCAGCCAGGCCCCCUUGCACACACACGCGCACACACACGCACACGCACACGCGCGGCGUGGUGGGGGCGGGCAGCCGCAGGCCGCAACAAAAGCCCCACGCUGCGGCUCGCACACAGCCCCCCUCGGGCGGGUGCAGGGAUCCCCCCGGCCCCGGUUUAUUUCGCGAAGUUGCUGCUGGUUUGUUUUGUGUGCAUUGCCCCCCGCCCCCAGCACACCCCCCCGCACACCCUUUCGGCAGCCGGGCGAGCGACCCCCGGCGGGGGUGUCACUGUGCCCGGGGACACCGCUGCGCCCGGACGCAGCCUCCUCGCCCUGCUCCUUUUUUCCUUUUUUUCUUUUUUUUCUUUCUUUCUUUUCUUGUGUGUGUGUGUGUGCGUGUGCGUGUGCGCGUUGUUUCGCUUUGCAAAACCCUUCCCAAACCGAGCCCGCCACCCCCUCGGGGCAACCCCGGCGGCCCUGCCCUCCGCCCGCCCUUCCGUGCCGCCGCGGAGGGCAGCCCGCCCCCCCGCGCCCCGCCGCGGAGGGCUCUGUACCUUC
rnacentral:lncRNA from 1 species